UCUUUAUCAGGCAGGACUCACUGAAGCUGACUGCUUUUCUGCAGCUAGGGUGUUUGAGCUGUGUUACACACAGUAUGCAUUGGAGGCUACAGGUUAAAUCCUAACAGCCCCACAAAGAGUGAAGUCUUCAGGAAGCUAUCCUUGCACUGUGACGCUCUGUUAAAUCUGUGAAAUUUGCAAAUGACACUCAAAUUGAAGGUGUAGAAGCAACCUCUGAGAAGGAUUUAAAGAUUUACAUUGACGUAACAAACUCAACAUCCAGACAAUGUGAACAAGCAAAUAAAAUUGUGGUACAGUUUAUCCAGUGUUGUGUAUGCUGCUGAAAACUCAUUUCUGUAUUCCAAAAUAACCGUAUUUGCUUGAACUGUUCAGCUGUAAUGUUUACAUAAUGAACAAUGACAGUGCAAGUAUACAUGAAACCAAGGUAACAUUUUUUAUUUUCUGUCUUGCUCUCAUUUUACUUUGCUAAGCAUGCAAUGGUUAUGUUUUAUUUUGUUGUUGUUUUUAGCUAAUAAUAAAGCAUUUGAACACUCAUUAAUUCAUUAAUUAAUUUAUUUUUAACCUGUGUGACUAAGUAAUGGGCUUCUGCAAUGGACUGUCAGCCUUUCCUGAAUUGAUUGCUGUCUUGUGCCUGGCGCUGUAC